UAGAUGCGAGAGUAGAGCAUAUCAAUAAGCGGAGGAAAAGAAACUAACAAGGAUUCCCUUAGUAACGGCGAGUGAAGCGGGAAGAGCUCAAAUUUGAAAUCUUCAAGGUUCUACCUUGACGAAUUGUAGUUUAUAGAAGUGUUUUCUGUUAGUAGGAGUGGCAAAAGUUCUUUGGAAUAGGACAUCAUAGAGGGUGAGAAUCCCGUAUUUGGUCAUUCCUUCCUAGCGUUGUGAUACACUUUCAACGAGUCGGAUUGUUUGGGAAUGCAGUCCAAAAUGGGUGGUAAAUUUCAUCUAAAGCUAAAUAUUGGCGAGAGACCGAUAGCGAACAAGUACCGUGAGGGAAAGAUGAAAAGAACUUUGAAAAGAGAGUUAAACAGUACGUGAAAUUGUCAAAAGGGAAGCGUUUGACACCAGUGUUGUUUUUCCGAAAAUCAAUUACGAAUGUUUUGUUUUUAAGAAGUUAUGACUUCAUCGGCUUGCUUCUUUCUUUACGAAACUUUCUUAAUGCACUUUUCGGUUAACAAGUCAACAUCAAUUUCUUUUGUUGUAAAAGGGUACGAGGAAGGUGGCUUUCUUUUCGGAGAAAGUGUUUAUAGCCUUGUACCUCUGCAAUCGGAGAGAUUGAGGUCUGCAGCGUAGAUCCUUCGGGGUUAGAUACAGUUUGUGCUAAGUUAUAGCUUUUCAUAGACAACUUGUUGACUAUGUUUAGUCUUGUAGCUUACUCGCUGAUGCUAUUUUACCUACGCUUAGGAUGUUGACACACGCGCGUGCUCG
rnacentral:rRNA from 1 species